AGGAAAGGGAGGGAUUCAAACCCU
rnacentral:tRNA from 1 species